UUCUGUCCAUAUAGUGUAAGUGGAGCUUCGGUGCAGCUGGUUAGCCAACGGGUUGUCGGCAGGUUGCUGGUAGUUAGCAUGUCUGCAGCAAAGUGUAAUGCUGCAUUAGACAGGACAACGUCGCUGCACGCCUGCAAGACGGGAAGUACGAAAAUCCUUUUAUCCUGACUCGGAAGUGCGAGCACUGGUAGGGAAAUGGCUCCAACAGGGAAAGCAAAAGGACUUUGAGUUCCACCUUCCAAGACUCCCAGACCAGAAAAUGUGUCUGGGCUGGACCAUUAACCACAGAGCUCCAUACUUGUGCUGCACACACAACCACUGACGUUCCCCCUGACACAAGAAGUGGCCCAGACCUGCUUGAAUCAAACUAAACAGUGACGUCUUGUCAAAACACACUUGGAAUGUAUAGCACACCUAAAACAACUGUUUCAAUGCAAAAAAAUAAAUCUACAGCGUUAAAGAUAUAUGUUCUGAGGUAAACGAAAUCCCAAAAUAAAGCAGAGGAGCAGAGACAUUCUGUGUGACAGACAAAUGGCGCUUUCCCUCUCCCUGAAUCAGAUUUCCAGAGGAGGAGGAGGUGGAGGAGGGGAUGCAGUGGUGGCUCCCCUGGCCUACUUUCCUCCAUCCACAAGCCAGUUCAUCCUCCUGGGAACACUGGAGGGCAUCAAGAAGAUGAACGUUGCACGUCUCCACCCUGUCUCACAGUUUGAUCCCGUCCUGGAGUCAUGGGGGGACAGGAAGCCAUGAGACAUGGCACAUUUCCCCCCAGGGAUGUUACGCUUAUCAGCAUAAUGGGAGGCAAACUGCACAGUUGGGGGAAAGACUUCCAGGGCUUUGUUUGUUUGUUCAAACAAAUGAAAUAAAAAUCUAAAAUAAAUGAAUCAUAAAAGCAAUCAUCAGUGCUUUGUGGCUUCUCAUCCUACUGUGAUUUCUGCUCUGUUUAUUUUUUAAAGCUACCAAAUAACUUUUUAAUUGCCUUUUUGCAAAUGAGCCUAAUCUGAACAGUUAAUGUUCAAUCACUGAGUCUAUCUGAUGCCUGCAGAAAUUUUACUUUUAAAGGUGCAAUAA